CAAAUGAAGUAUUUACUGUCAUUAUCCCUAUUUGAUGAAGAGGAUACGGAGGCUCACAGAGAAUUAACAACUUGUCCAAGAUCAUCUAAUGUCGAGUAAUCAAGAGUGAAUGACCUGAAAGCACACAUACCAGCUGGGACCAGCCUUUGAUUGAGGGGAAAACUUACAGAGACAGAGCAGGAGCAGAAAUGGUUCUCUGUAUUGUGAGGCUGCAAGAUCACCCAGGGAGAGUGGGACCAAACAGACCAGAACGUCUGACACACUGAAUGAGUUACUGGAAAAGCAGAGAUAACCUAUGUAGAUUAACAAUAUGGAAACAUCCUGAAACCACGUUGGAGUCUCAGUAAAUUGACUGGAUUCAAGUUUCACAAACAGGGAAA